rnacentral:lncRNA from 1 species
CUUUCUUUAAUUUUUUUUUUUUUAGAUGGUUUCUUCUCUCUAUGUUGCCUAGGCUGGCGUGGAACUCCUGGGCUCAAGUGGCCCUCUUGCCUCAGCCUCCCAAGUGCUGGGCCUGCAGACAUGCACCACCAUGCUUGGCACAAGCUCACUUUUUGACCAUUUCUCUUAUGAAAUGAAUACCUGGCAUCUUGGAUAUUUAUUUGAGAUCUCAGC